GAUGAACGCUGACAGAAUGCUUAACACAUGCAAGUCAACUGUGGCGGACGGGUGAGUAACGCGUAAAGAUCUUGCCUCACGGAUAGGGACAACAUUUGGAAACGAAUGCUAAUACCUGAUACUGUGAGAGAGCUUUGCGUCCAAUUAGCUAGUUGGAGAGGUAACGGCUCACCAAGGCGAGGAUGGGUAGCCGGCCUGAGAGGGUGAUCGGCCACAAGGGGACUGAGAAGCGGCCAUUAGUCAUUCGGGCGGCAGCAGUGGGGAAUAUUGGACAAUGGACCAAAGUCUGAUGCAGCAAUUCUGUGUGCAAGAUGAAGUUUUCGGAAUGUACAGUGCUGUCAGUUGGGAAGCGGUACCAACAGAAGAAGUGACGGCUAAAUACGUGCCAGCAGCCGCGGUAAUAC
rnacentral:rRNA from 1 species